GACGAACGCUGGCGGCGUGCUUAACACAUGCAAGUCGAACGAGAGGCGAACGGGUGAGUAAUACGUGGGUAACCUGCCCCCGUGUGGGAUAAGCCUUGGAAACGGGGACUAAUACUGAAUGAAGGGGGAUGGGCUCGGGGGCUAUCAGCUUGUUGGUGGGGGGAUGGCCUACCAAGGCGGUGACGGGUAGCCGGCCUGAGAGGGUGACCGGCAACAGUGGGCGUGCGAUACGGCCCAGACUCCUACGGGAGGGAGCAUUGGGGGAUAGUGCGCAAUGUGCGAAAGCCUGAUCCAGCGACGCGGCGUGGGGGAUGAAGGCUUUCGGGUUGUAAACCUCUUUCGAUAUCGAACCGGUAGGUGGCGAGGAAGCGCCGGCUAACUACGUGCCAGCAGCCGCGGUAAUUC
rnacentral:rRNA from 1 species